AACGUAGGGGACAAGCGUUAUCCGGAUUUACUGGGCGUAAAGCGCCCGUAGGCGGCCUGACAAGUUGGACGUGAAAGCUCCUGGCUUAACUGGGAGAGGCCGUUCAAAACUGUCAGCUAGAGUCUGGAAGAGGAGAGCGGAAUUCCCGGUGUAGUGGUGGAAUGCGUAGAGAUCGGGAGGAACACCAGUGGCGAAAGCGGCUCUCUGGUCCAAAACUGACGCUGAGGGGCGAAAGCGUGGGGAGCAAACAGG
rnacentral:rRNA from 1 species